rnacentral:rRNA from 1 species
UACGAAGGGUGCAAGCGUUGCUCGGAAUUACUGGGCGUAAAGCGUGCGUAGGUGGUUUGUUAAGUCUGUUGUGAAAGCCCCGGGCUCAACCUGGGAAUGGCAAUGGAUACUGGCAAGCUAGAGUGCGGUAGAGGGUAGUGGAAUUCCCGGUGUAGCGGUGAAAUGCGUAGAGAUCGGGAGGAACACCAGUGGCGAAGGCGGCUACCUGGACCAGCACUGACACUGAGGCACGAAAGCGUGGGGAGCAAACAGG